GGGGAUAUAGCUCAGUUGGUAGAGUGUUUGCCUUGCAUCUUGCGUGCACAAGGCUCUGGGUUCAAUCCCCAGCACCA
rnacentral:tRNA from 1 species